rnacentral:lncRNA from 1 species
AUGUCCCUUUCAAAAAGCUACCUGGGGAGGCUGUCUUCUAAGGGAUGCUUCCAUCGCUUGUCAUCUCAAGACUCCCCUGGCGAAGCGUGCAAGACAGCGUCUGCUAGAGUCCACCAGCCAUGCGAGAAGCCUGUGGAAGGUGCUCCUCUCACCACGAAUCCAGCACUUUCCCUGGCUCUUCUGACCCAGCGCAGUCGACCUCUGGCCUCCACUCUGCCUGCAGAACCUCCAUCUGCCUUGACCAGAACUCCACUAGGCCCUGUUGCCAAGAGCUCAGCUCCAGCUCACUCCUGUUUCCCAUCUACCAACUCAGGCCAUGGCCGCAUGAGCUGUCGCAUUGAAUUCCUCAGUAAAUCUAUGAAUUAUCCAUUUGUUGGUUUGAGUCAAGGGUGGUGGAAAUGUCCUGUAGAAAGUUCCAAGCAUGCCAGGUCUUCGUUUUCUUACUGGACAUGGGCUAGUUUAGGAGCAUCGUGUGAUGGAGCAUAAAGCGUGCACUUUGAGUACAACUGGGUCUGGGACUGAACACAAGCUUAGCCAUUCGUGAACUGCCUGACCUAAGACAUGUUCUUAACCAUUCUGAAUUUCAGUUUCUCAAUCCGGGUAAGGAGAAUAAUAAGAUUUACCAGUAGCAGUUAUAGGAUUUAGUUUCUUUUCUGGUUCUCUGAUCUACUCUGUAAUUUUGGCAAGUCAUGUGACCUCUUCAGGCCUACUUAUCUUUGAGUGAAAACGAAGGUCUUAGUGGUUCUCCACAGGAAUAUGAUUUUCUCCCAUCUGGAGGCAUCUGGAAGUGUGUGUGGUGUUUGUUGAUUGUCAUGAAACUAAGGGAAUCAAGAACGUAAAGUGCCCUGUAAAGGGGAGGACAGUCCUAUACAACAGAGAAUUGUUCCAUCAGAAAAUCAACGUAGCCCUGUUGUGAAACCCAAUUAGAUCAUCUCUGAAGUCCUUGUCACCUUAACAUUUCAUCAUUUUACUCUAUGUCAUUGUUUCCUUACAAUUAUGAUGGAUGAAGUAGAUAAUUAAAUGCUAUGAGCCACCCUGCCACACAUGAGCAUGUUUAUCAAAAUGAAGGAUGGUGGAAUAAAGAACUGACGUUUUUUGGGUUGGAGUAAAGG